GACGAACGCUGGCGGCGUGCUUAACACAUGCAAGUCGAACGCUGAAGCUUGGUGCUUGCACUGGGUGGAUGAGUGGCGAACGGGUGAGUAAUACGUGAGUAACCUGCCCUUGACUCUGGGAUAAGCCUGGGAAACUGGGUCUAAUACUGGAUAUGACAUGCCACUGCAUGGUGGUGUGUGGAAAGGGUUUUACUGGUUUUGGAUGGGCUCACGGCCUAUCAGCUUGUUGGUGGGGUAAUGGCCUACCAAGGCGACGACGGGUAGCCGGCCUGAGAGGGUGACCGGCCACACUGGGACUGAGAGACGGCCCAGACUCCUACGGGAGGCAGCAGUGGGGAAUAUUGCACAAUGGGCGGAAGCCUGAUGCAGCGACGCCGCGUGAGGGAUGACGGCCUUCGGGUUGUAAACCUCUUUCAGCACGGAAGAAGCGAGAGUGACGGUACGUGCAGAAGAAGCGCCGGCUAACUACGUG
rnacentral:rRNA from 1 species